ensembl:piRNA 21ur-14213 ncRNA
UUGCUUCUGCAGUAGCGUGUU